rnacentral:rRNA from 1 species
UACGAAGGGGGCUAGCGUUGCUCGGAAUCACUGGGCGUAAAGGGUGCGUAGGCGGGUUUCUAAGUCAGAGGUGAAAUCCUGGAGCUCAACUCCAGAACUGCCUUUGAUACUGGAAGUCUUGAGUAUGGGAGAGGUGAGUGGAACUGCGAGUGUAGAGGUGAAAUUCGUAGAUAUUCGCAAGAACACCAGUGGCGAAGGCGACACACUGGCUCACUAACUGACGCUGAGGCGCGAAAGCGUGGGGAGCAAACAGG